rnacentral:lncRNA from 1 species
AAAAGAGAAUUAGGACCUAAUGAACGUUCUUUCUUAGCUACUAAACGUAUAUGUUGAGUAUCAUGAGGUCGUAUCAUUAAUAAACGCAGGCACGUCUAGAUAUUUUCACAACAUUCCAUAGUGAAAUCAAUGCUAACAUUUUGUAGCAUGUGCUAACUUACUUGAUAUUGGAGUUCAACCAAGAUCUUGGUCUGUAGAAUGCUUGAUAUUGGAAAUCAUCCAUUUUCUCAAAUCAAUAUUGUAGCAGUCAAGUGUCUGUUUGGACUGUAGAAUGUUUGGAUAUUAGUAACUCCAAGGUCUUUCAUCAGCAACUUCAAGGUCUUUCAGAUCAAACUUGUUCUCAAACAUUUAUUUCGUUGUAUUUAUGUCAGAUUGCCCGCUCCAUUUAAGCAAGUACCGUUCGACAAUAUUGAUAUUGGAAAUCAUCCAAACAUUCUACGGUUCAAACAGGUACUUGGACUUGUAAUACCCCGUAUUAUAAUUAGCUAAGUUUAGCUUCUAGUUGCAUGCAUAAGAGGUUUAAAGCCUGAAAAUUUCACUAAGUGUUGGGGACUUAGUCAUUUUUAAGGUCACUUAACUUCGAGGAUUUUUAAAUUGGUCUUCCCGACCCCAAGAUGUUGGUUUUUGAGAUGAUUCAUGUUUAGGGGUGUAAGGAGCAUAUCUCGAAGAAGUUUUGAAUUUUUUGGACGAGAAUCGGGUAGCGUUUGGAUCACCGAAUUGAGCAGCUCACUGCAAUAGUGUCGCGUCGCGGUGCUAUUCCUGAUGGCACGUUCAUCGUGUCGCGGUGAGCAUGUAAACCGCAAUCCAGUUACGAAUUUAAUUGCCUGAGGGGAAAUUGUGUCUUUUUUCCUCAAUCCAACUCGUCAUGUCACGACUUAUAUCACUAGUUAGGGCGUUAUUUGCCCCUCUUCUUCAAUUCUCCUCUCAAAGAAACCCCAUUCAUCUCCCAAGAACAUCAAUUCAAUUACUUUCUCUUCAAGGAAACCAAGAAUUCAAGUUUUCAAAUCCAAGAACCUUCAAGAAAGCAUGAAGAUUGGUAUUUCUUUUUUCAAGAUUAAGGGUUUAAGGUAUGUGGGAGUUCAUCCAUGGGUCCCCUUUCACCCAUGGAGCCUAAGAACCCUUUUUGGUUUUUAAAUUAUGAGUUUUGAUGUUUCAAGUUGAAUUAUCUCCAUGAAUCUCUUGUUGAUUUCAAUUACGAGUUAUGGUUUCAUGUGUUUUCAAGUAGAAUGAGUCAUAUCAUGUUUGAGUAUUGAAAUUUCCAUACCAUGUUCAAUUGAUUUUAAGAUGAAUCCCCAAGUUAUAAGUUUAGCCAUGUUAUCCUUUUGUCUUCCCAUGUUUAAGACAUUCCCAUGUUCAAGUUCAUGAUUCCCAAGUGUUUGAUGAAAUGUCUAUGCUUUUGAGUCUUUGAACCAUGAUUCAAUCCCAAAGUUUUAAGCUUUAAUAUUGUAUUUUAUACCCAUUCAGUGCUGGUGGGUUAUGAACACCCGAUACCUAUAUGAUUUACAUAAAUUCAAUUUUUCAAAAAUUUAGACAAUUAAUCCAUAAAUCUUAUUAGUAUACUCAGAUAUCCAUAUUUAUGAUGAGCAAUAUCAGUUGAUGUGUUAUUAAUUAACCCAGAAUCCAUACGCACUGUCAUUUUCAGAAUACCAUGACCCGAGCUUACCAGUUAUUAGUUAAUAGUGCAUGCACCAGUUAGUAUUCCAAUGUCAUUCAAUUGGAAAUAGGAUUUAGCACCGAGUGAAACCAGGGAUGGAUUCCUGCCAUUUUAGGGUUCGACCCUUGGUAGCAAUCCCUGAGUUAUAGAACUACAUAGCCAAUAUAGGUUUGAGAUGUCUUCCUGCUAGUUUAGGGUUGACACAUAUCUCACGAGUUCUCCUGCCAGUUAGGGUGACUCUUUAGUCCUUCGGGAUACUAGUUUAGUGGAUCCACACAACCAGUGUUAGUACCUGUGGCACGGUACUGACACCCUUCCAACUGGGGUUACAGGUUGGACCCCAAUUAGCUAAAAUUGGGGCAUGUCAGUUAGAUGAUACCUCCCACAGUCUCAGUACAGUAUUCAAUAUAGUUUUAGUUCAGGUUUGCUUGACCAAAGCAUACAGACUUUCAGUUAUUCAGUUAUCAGAUUUUAGUUUUUUAGUUUACAUAUUAUUUCAGAAAUAUGCUUAUGCUUGGACUUGCAUUCUCAGAUAUUACAUUUUCAUGCAUCCAUGUUUAGUUAUCCCAUGUUGUUUAGUUAGUCCUUAUCUCAUAUACACAGUACUUCAUAGUUUCAGUGUAGUUAUUUAGACUAAGUUCAGUUUAGUAUUACAUGAUCAGUAUUUAGUCAUCAGUUAAUCAAUGUUCGGAUAUCAAUAGUCCGUGUUCAUAUAUUAGCUACUUAGUAUAUAGGUGUUGGUUAUCCCCUUUCUUAGAUUUCAAUCAUUUCGUCGCACAGGCAACAGUUAUUCAAGUAAUCAGAUUAGCUUUGGUUUCGUAUGUUCAUGUAUUCAUGUUUUACCGUACUCCAGCUUCUGCUCUACUUAUUCUACAAAAAGUAAAGUUUUAAGAAACUAAGUGUAGUGAUUCACCAGCUUAUCAGAUUAUGUUUGUUACUCAUGUUUUAAGAUAUUUCAGGUUUCAGUUUAUUUCAGUCUCUUGGUGAGUCUACUUACACUUAGCAUGCAUGUUUUAAGAUUACGUAUGAAGUCAGUUUUACUUAUUGCAUUCACCCCCACUUACUCAGUAUAUUCCAG